AUUGAACGCUGGCGGCAUGCCUUACACAUGCAAGUCGAACGGCAGCAUGAUCUAGCUUGCUAGAUUGAUGGCGAGUGGCGAACGGGUGAGUAAUACAUCGGAACGUGCCCUGUAGUGGGGGAUAACUAGUCGAAAGAUUAGCUAAUACCGCAUACGACCUGAGGGUGAAAGUGGGGGACCGCAAGGCCUCAUGCUAUAGGAGCGGCCGGUGUCUGAUUAGCUAGUUGGUGAGGUAAAGGCCCACCAAGGCGACGAUCAGUAGCUGGUCUGAGAGGACGACCAGCCCCCCGGGGACUGAGACACGGCCCAGACUCCUACGGGGGGCAGCAGUGGGGAAUUUUGGACACUGGGGGCAACCCUGAUCCAGCAAUGCCGCGUGUGUGAAGAAGGCCUUCUGGUUGUAAAGCACUUUUGUCCGGAAAGAAAUCGCACUUACUAAUAUUAGGUGUGGAUGACGGUACCGGAAGAAUAAGGACCGGCUAACUACGUGCCAGCCGCCGCAGUAAUAC
rnacentral:rRNA from 1 species